rnacentral:rRNA from 1 species
CAACAGGGAUUGCCUUAGUAACGGCGAGUGAAGCGGCAAAAGCUCAAAUUUGAAAUCUGGCACCUUCGGUGUCCGAGUUGUAAUUUGAAGAAGGUAACUUUGGAGUUGGCUCUUGUCUAUGUUCCUUGGAACAGGACGUCACAGAGGGUGAGAAUCCCGUGCGAUGAGAUGCCCAAUUCUAUGUAAAGUGCUUUCGAAGAGUCGAGUUGUUUGGGAAUGCAGCUCUAAGUGGGUGGUAAAUUCCAUCUAAAGCUAAAUAUUGGCGAGAGACCGAUAGCGAACAAGUACAGUGAUGGAAAGAUGAAAAGAACUUUGAAAAGAGAGUGAAAAAGUACGUGAAAUUGUUGAAAGGGAAGGGCUUGAGAUCAGACUUGGUAUUUUGC